rnacentral:rRNA from 1 species
UAAAAAGGCCUGAGUCCGUUACCCGGAGUCAGGCCUGAUGAUGUUAACGACGGCGCGUUUACAUGCGUUCUACGGUUUCGAUACCCAACGUAUCCAGACCCAGUUUCAGCGUCUUCGCCGUCAGUUGUCAGUCUGCAUGGAGCCGACCUUGAAAUACCACCCUUUAAUGUUUGAUGUUCUAACGUGGACCCGUGAUCCGGGUUGCGGACAGUGUCUGGUGGGUAGUUUGACUGGGGCGGUCUCCUCCUAAAGAGU